rnacentral:lncRNA from 1 species
UUUUUUUCUCUUGUUCUUAUUGGUGCUAUUAUUCAUAUUUAUUUUAUAUUUUUGGCUAUUUUUAUUUUUAUUUUUUGCAGUACAGGGAAUUGAGCCUGGGACCUCGUGCACAUUGGGUAGGUGCUCUAUCACUGGAACUAUACUCCCAGCCCAGCUGAGGAAUUGAACCCAACUCUAGCCACAAUUGAACCCAACUCUAGCCACAAUCUUGGUGGAUACUACAACUUAAAAAGAAUAUAAGGGCCAAAAGCUCCUGGCCAAUGACCUGCCUUCAAGUGGAGGUCUGAAGUCCCCUUCCUGGAUGGACAUUCCCAUAGUAACAGCAGAGAGGAAUAGUACACACGAUGUGGACACCACACCUACAGACCUCUGUAUGGGUCACACCCAUAUAUCAGAUUGUGCAUUCCUGGCAAGACUGAAUGUGAGUGCCACAGCGGGGAAGCUGUGAUCUUCGACCCUGACUCUCCCCAUGAAAUGGAGGAACUUCAGGCCCUUCACCAUAACUGGAGUAAUCAACCUCAGAAUUGCUUUUGUGUAAUAGAGCCAAUAUCAACAGUGCCUAUAGAAACUUCCACCACCUAGUAGGGGUUUCCAGAGGGUGUACCUCCAUGUCUCCACUUACUCUGCUGCCUACACUAAACAUGCCUGAAUUAUGAGAGGGUUCCCACUCUUGUGAGACUUGCCCAGAUAGUAGAUACCUCAGACUUCAGUAUGGCAUGCACUGUGUCCAGACCCACUAAUCAUAGCCCAAGAAGCCACAGAGAGAUUGCAUUAUUGAAUUGGAGGUAAACUCAACAUUAUACAAUAAUUUGACACCACAGGGCAUAUCAAUUGGAAGCCACUAAGAAGAACAUCACAUAAAAGUGGAAGAGAGUCCAAUUCAAUAGAUUGGUAAAUCUCAACCUAGAAACAUGAAAUAUGAUGCAACGUAAUAGAACACCUCCAAAAGUUCAUAACUCUUUAGUAACUGAUUCCAAAGAUAUCAAAGUGGAUGAAAUGCCACACAAAGAAUCUUUCAGGAGAACAAUGUUAAAAGCAGUAUGUGAUAAAAGGAUAAACAGCUGGAUGAAUUAACAAAACAAUUCAAGAAAGAUCUGAAAAGUUCAAUGUCAGAAAAUUCACUUGGAAGUCUCACUAUUAGAAUGGAUAAAAUAGAAGAAAGAAUAACAUAUAAAGAUGAAACUUUUGAAAUAUUAGUAGAGAAAGAAAAUUGAGUAGGUAUGACGUUGCCAUACAAGAGAUUUGGGACAACAUCACAAGACAAAAUAUCUGGCUCAUUGGCAUACCCGAGAGAGAAGAGCUACAGGUUGGGGGCAUUAAACAAAACCUAUUUAAUGAGCUGGGCGCCUUGGCGCAUGCCUGUAAUCGCAGCAACUCGGGAGGCUGAGACAGGAGGAUCAUGAGUUCAAAGCCAACCUCAGCAAAAGCAAGGCGGUAAGCAACUCACUGAGACCCUGUCCCUAAGUAAAAUACAAAAUAGGGCUGGGGAUGUGACUUAGUGGCCAAAUGCCCCUGAGUUCAAUCCCCAGUAUCCAAGGGGGGAAAAAAAAAACCUAUUUCCCAGAUCUUGCAAAAGACAUGGGCAUCUAUAUACACGAUGCAUAUAGAACCCCAAAGAGAUAUGUUGUGAAAGGAACUUUUCCAUGAUACAUUGUAGUUAAAUUGUCAAACAUACUUCAUCAAGAAAACAAUAUUAAACGUGGCAAGAGAGAAGUGUCAAGGUACAUUUAAAGGCAGACGCAUUAGACUAACUGAAUAUUUCUCAGAAGGAACUCUAUUAAAGGACAGGAGGGCAUGGAUCCAUGUAUUUGAAGUCACGAAAGACAAAAAAAAAAUGAGCCAGCCAAGAGUACUGUGUUCACCAAGGCUAUCUUUUAGAAUUGACAGAGAAGUAAAGACCUUCCAAGAUAACCAUGAAGAAAGGGAAUUCUUGACUACUGGACCAAAUUACAAAACAUAAUUAAGGCAAGCCCACAAGAAGAGGAAGAAAAAUUAUAGGAACAUGUAAAAGAAUAAGUCUAACUAGAAGAGAAUAGAUAUGCAAAUGAGAAAUAAGAAAGCAUCAAACAUUAUCGUCAUUAACCAUUAAGUGUGUAAGAUGAAUGAGAUGAAAGAAUGAACAGAAUAUUUAAAACAACCAGAAGAUAAACAAACACUAUUAGAGAUAGAUUCCAAAACAGUAAUAAUGGGUGACUUCAGUACCCUACUCUCAUCAAUGGAUGGGUCAUCCAGGAAAAAAAAUCAAAGAAAUAUCAGUUAGAUUAUAUUUCUGAUUAAAUGGACAUUGUAGACAUCUAUAGAAUAUUCUACCCAACAGCUGCAGGAUGCAUAGUUAUUUUCAUCAAUGUAUGAGUCUUUCUCAAAUAGACCAUAUAUUAAGUCACAAAACUAGUCUUAACCAAUUCAAAACAAUUGAAUUAGUGAUGUAGCUGAAUACAAAAUCAACUUAGGAAAAUCAGAUUUUCUGAACAUUAAUGAGCUCAUUGAGAAAUUAGGAAAAUAAUCUUACUACAGACAAAACAAACCUGGAAAGAAACUGAAGAAGCCAUUACAAGGUGGAAAGACAGACCCUCCCCCAUGUUUGUGUACUGGGAGAAUUGGUGUUAAAUGGCCACACUAGUCAACCUUUGGUGUGGCCCUUUUCUUUCUUUUUUUCUGGGGCAGGGGAGCCUGGGGAUUGAACUUAGGGGCACUCAACCACUGAGCCACAUCCACAGCCCUAUUUUGUAUUUUCUUUAGAGACAGGGUCUCAUGAAUUACUUAGUGUCUCAUUUUUGCUGAGGCUGGCAUUAAACUCUCAGUCCUCCUGUUUUAGCCUCCCAAACAACUGGUAUUACAGGCAUGAACCACUGUGCCUGGCUGCACUUAUGGUUUUCUAUGUGUAGAAUCAUCAACAAACAAGGAUAAUUUGACUUCCUUAAUUUUUUAACAAUUUUUUUCCUUUAGUUGUCAAUUGACCUUUAUUUAUAUGCGAUGCUGAGAAUCAAACCCAGUGCUUUACACAUGCUUGUAAGCACUCUACCACAGAGCCACAAUCCUAGCCCUUCCUUUAUUAUUUGUAUUUUUUUUAAAGUAUUUUUAGUUGUCAAUAGACACAAUAUCUUUAUUUUUUUAUGUGGUGCUGAGGAUCAAACAUGCUUCACAUGUGCUAGGUAAGCACUCUACCACUGAGCUACAACCCCAGUCCUAUUUGUAUGUUUUUAUUUCUUGCCUAAUUGCUCUGGCUAAAUGUUAAGUACUGCUUUUAAUAAGAGUGCUGAGUAAGCAACUAUGUCUCAUUCUCGAAUUUAGAGGAAAUUAUUUCAGUAUUUUCCAAUUCAAUGUUUUCAUAUAUAUUUAUUUUGUCAUAUAUAGCCUUUGCCCUGUCUCAGGAAACUACUGAAGGUGAGUACUCAUUCAAAAUGAGAAUAAGCCAAGAUAACUUGUAACUUUGAAGACUGAAAUGAAAUGUAGUUUAAGUGAAAGAAAAAGGCAAGAGAAUGGAAACUAUAAGUAAAGAGGAAAGGAAAUGCAUACUCUGAGUUUAGAUAGGUUGGAGAAUUGGAUAAUAUCCUGUUUCUUAACAUCCUCAGUAAAGGGAUUAAUAGAUAUAGUUGUAAAUUAUACAGUAUCAAAGCAAUGGUUUCCUGAAAGACCUUUUGAAAAUGUUAUGAAAAGGAUCCUUUGCAAUAGAUACAUGUUUCAAUUGAAGAUUUCUUACAGUCUUCUUCUGUUACUAUAACAAAAUGUCUGAGAUAAUAAACUUCUAUUUUUGGCUUACAGUUGUAAUGCUCCUGGUUGGUUUGCUCAACAAACACAUCAUGGUGGCGAACAUAUGACAGCAGAGAUGGGCUACAGUCUCCAGCUGUGAGACCUAGACUAAGGGCUGGGUUCCCGUUUUGCUCAUGUAAAACGAGGCUCCAUGAUAAAAUUGAAGAUUACUUCCAAUUUGUAGUUCUAUGCUUUUUAGUGGUGUUUAAUAACAGUAUUAAAAUUGACAAAAUUUAAGCCUUAAGCCUUGUUUUUUAAUGCAAGGAAACAUGAUAAAAUGUUAAGUAACAAAAACAACACACAUGUACACAUUGUAUUUAAAAGAUGGUCUCUCAACUUUAUUUUUUAAAAAAAAGUGAAAAUGAAAAGAUACCCAUAAUGGGACUCUAUGAGCUUAUUGAUAACUCCCCUGCCCUUCCAGUUUUCCUUAAUUUAUUAUUUUGCCUUUCACCUAUUUGGUUGUAGAAAAAUUUAAAGAAAAAGAAUAUCUAUGAUAAUCCAUAAACAUGACCAAAUUAAAGUUAUGUUAAUUUUAUCAUAUGUUGAUGGCAUCAUGUGGUCACUGUAUGAGGCAAAUCUUUUGGUGAGGGAGGGGUGGUGCUGGAGAUUGAAUUUGGGCAGUCAACUCCUGAGCCACAUCCCAACCCUAUUUUGUGUAUUUUAUUUAGAGACAGGGUCUCACUGAGUUGCUUAGUGUCUGGCUGUUGCUGAGGCUGGCUUAGAACUCAUGAGCCUCUUGACUCUGCUUCCUUAGCUACUAGGAUUACCGGUGUGCACUGCUGCAUCCAGCUGAGGCAAAGCUUUUUUAAGUUUUCUGUAUUACUAUAAGCCAUCGUCAUUUUUUUCCUUAUGCAUGACAAUAGAAUGUAUUAUUUUGACAUACAUUUAUGGAUGUUAUGGUUUUUGAGGUGUACCCCAAAAGCUCAUGUGUGGGCAAUGCAAGAAGGUUCAGAGAAGAAAUGAUUGGGUUAUGAGAGCCUUGACCCAACAGUGAAUUAAUCACCAAUGGGGCACCCUUCAUGCACUAGGAAGUUUAUUCAGAAGUGUUCAGGCUGCUGCAGCCAGGGUCCCUGGGGCCAUGGCUACCGCUCCAGAUGGCAGCAGACCAUGGUGUCAAACAUGUGGUGCUGGUUCUGCAGGAAAGCAGGAUGCUGGAGUUAGUGGGUUAUGGAGGCUUCCACCAAGAUUUCAAAGGAUGGCCUGGAAAGCCAGGCAAAGUGCAGCAGGGUUGGAGUCUCUGUGGGCAGCCCCCAAGAGGGUUAGGCAUGGAGAUGUGUGGAGGAAGCCAAAGCUCUGAUGGAGACCCCUGAAGAUUAAGAAAUGCCAGUAACGUGGAGCAUCAUCCUAGGAAAGCUGCAGGAUCAAGAAGACAAUCAGGCCAUUUGGGCUGCAACCAACAAAGCCAGAGGGGUAAUCUAUACAAGUUCUUUGGAGAGGACAUCAUAUCAUAUGCUCCAGAUGCCAGACAGAACUAUAGGACUUGUUUGACCAGCUGGAUUUCAGCCUGGCUUUGGUCCCUUCCUUUCUCUCUAUGCCUCUGUUUUUCUAAAUGUUUUCGAAGGCCUCUGUUUUUCUAAAUGUUUUCUAAGUGUUUAGUUUGUACCUUUAUGUUUUCUAAGUGUUUAUUUUGUACCUUUAUAUAUUGGAAACUUGUAAAUAGCUUGAUUUUUACAGGAACUCAUGAUGCAAGUUUGCCUUGAGUCUGAAAGGAAACUUUGGACUUGAACUCUGAGCAGUCUUGGAACUGCUGAGACUGUGGGGACUCUUGGGGAUAGACUAAAUGUAUUUUGCUUUGUCAGAUGAGUGUGAGCUUUUGGGGACGGGGUGGAAUGUUAUAGUUUGGAUGUGAGGUGUACCCCAAAAGCUCAUGCGAGACACUUCUAAAAGGUUUAGAGAGGAAAUGAUUAGGUUGUGAGAAUCUUAACCCAAUCAGUGAAUUAAUCACCUGAUGGGAUUGAGUGGUAACUGAAGGCAGGUGGGUGUGGCAAGAUGAAGUAGUGGGGGUCUCUCUCUGCUUCCUCCUGAUCAUGUGAGCUGCCUCCCUCCUCCACACUCUUCUUCCAUGAUGUUCAGCUUCACCUGUAGUCCUGAGGAAUGGAGCUGUCUGCAUAUGGACUGAGAACUCAAACUGGAGCCCUCAAAUAAACCUUUCCUCCUCCACAAUUAUUCUGUUUGGGUCUUUUAGUCACAGCAGUAAAAAAAGCUGACUAAAACAAUAGAGUAUAACUUUGCCUUCUUUUAGAAAAGAGUCCCCACAGUCUCAACAGUUCCAAGAUUGCUCAAAGUUCAAGUCCAAAGUCUCCUCUGAGACUCAGGGCAAACUUGCAUCCUGAGUGCCUAUAAAAAUCAAUUCUUUAAAGAAUCAGCAUAAAUCCAAAAGACUUCUAUUAAGGGGAGGAAGGAAACAUUAAAAGAACAACCUGGAUCGGGUACUAAUUAUUUUACAUGGUUAUCUCACAUAGAUAUUAAAGAACUUUUAGGAGAUUAUCCUAUUCUGUUUGACAAAGAUCUUCAAGAUAAAUGACUUUUUCUUUUCUCUAAAAGUUUACAUACCUUGGCUGGAUGUGGUGUUGCACACUUGUAUUCCUAGCAUUCCAGAGGAUAGGUCAGGAGUAUCAGAAAAGUGCAAGGCCAACAUUAACAACUUAGCAAGAUCUUGUCUAUAAAUUUAAAAAGGGAGCAGUGGAUGUGAAGUGCCCUUAGGAUCAAUCCCUAGUACCAAAACAAAUAAAAGGUGACAUUCAGAUGAAUAUGUAUGUCAUGAUCCUGCUUACAUUAACAAAAAAGAAAACCCUUAUGUCUAGAAAAAUUCUGGGAAGCUACAUAAAAGUAUUUACAGUAGUAACUAAUAAAUGUUGAAGAUUCGGGAUAAAAAUAUUUAUUUUAUAUUUUUUCAUAUUUAAAAAAUAGAACAGGGGCUGGGGUUGUAUCUCAGCAGCAGAGCGCUAGCCUAGCACGUGUGAGGCCCUGGGUUCGAUCCUCAGCACCACAUAAAAAUAAAUAAAUAUAGUGUCCAACUAAAAGCUAAAUAUUUAAAAAAAAUUAAAAAAGAACAGGUAUUAGCCUAAUGUGUAUAUGACUUUCAGGAGAAGAAAAGGAGGCUUUGAAGAUCUAAAAGAACCAGUAUUUUUCUUAUAAUUUGCUUUAUUUAUCUGUGAAGAAAACAGUAGUGUGCAAGAGGGCAGUUUUCUCAGUAUAGGUAGCCUCAUAAGGUUUUCUCUUAAUGAGAAAGAACAUCUUUUAAGUUGUAUUUGCUUUUUGUAUCUAGUAUACCUUAUUUUUUCUGUUUUUAUUUUAGUUGCAGAUGGACACAAUACUUUUAUUUUUAUGUGAUGCUAAGGAUUGAACCCAGUGCCUCAUAUUCUGGGCAAGCACUGUACCACUGAGCUACAACUGCAGCCCCUACUGUACCAUUGUUUUGACAUUGCACAGAUAAUGCAAUUUCAAUGAUUCAGUUUUGUUGUGCAAUGUAAGAUUUUUUCAUUUAUUACUGUUUUAAAAUAUAAAAAAUGUGUUUUGC